rnacentral:rRNA from 1 species
AAACUUUCAACAACGGAUCUCUUGGUUCUGGCAUCGAUGAAGAACGCAGCGAAAUGCGAUAAUUAAUGUGAAUUGCAGACUCAGUGAAUCAUCGAAUCUUUGAACGCACAUUGCGCCCUUUGGCAUUCCGGAGGGCAUGCCUGUUCGAGCGUCAUUA